rnacentral:rRNA from 1 species
UGCGGAGGCGGAAUAUUAAGUCAGUGGUGAAAUCCUGCGGCUCAACCGUAGAACUGCCAUUGAUACUGAUAUUCUUGAAUGUAGUUGAGGUAGGCGGAAUGUGUAAUGUAGCGGUGAAAUGCUUAGAUAUUACACAGAACACCGAUUGCGAAGGCAGCUUACUAAACUAUGAUUGACGCUGAGGCACGAAAGCGUGGGGAGCGAACAGGAUUAGAUACCCUGGUAGUCC